UUUUAUGGAGAGUUUGAUCCUGGCUCAGGAUGAACGCUGGCGGCGUGCCUAAUACAUGCAAGUCGAGCGAACGGACGAGAAGCUUGCUUCUCUGAUGUUAGCGGCGGACGGGUGAGUAACACGUGGAUAACCUACCUAUAAGACUGGGAUAACUUCGGGAAACCGGAGCUAAUACCGGAUAAUAUUUUGAACCGCAUGGUUCAAAAGUGAAAGACGGUCUUGCUGUCACUUAUAGAUGGAUCCGCGCUGCAUUAGCUAGUUGGUAAGGUAACGGCUUACCAAGGCAACGAUGCAUAGCCGACCUGAGAGGGUGAUCGGCCACACUGGAACUGAGACACGGUCCAGACUCCUACGGGAGGCAGCAGUAGGGAAUCUUCCGCAAUGGGCGAAAGCCUGACGGAGCAACGCCGCGUGAGUGAUGAAGGUCUUCGGAUCGUAAAACUCUGUUAUUAGGGAAGAACAUAUGUGUAAGUAACUGUGCACAUCUUGACGGUACCUAAUCAGAAAGCCAUGGCUAACUACGUGCCAGCAGCCGCGGUAAUACGUAGGUGGCAAGCGUUAUCCGGAAUUAUUGGGCGUAAAGCGCGCGUAGGCGGUUUUUUAAGUCUGAUGUGAAAGCCCACGGCUCAACCGUGGAGGGUCAUUGGAAACUGGAAAACUUGAGUGCAGAAGAGGAAAGUGGAAUUCCAUGUGUAGCGGUGAAAUGCGCAGAGAUAUGGAGGAACACCAGUGGCGAAGGCGACUUUCUGGUCUGUAACUGACGCUGAUGUGCGAAAGCGUGGGGAUCAAACAGGAUUAGAUACCCUGGUAGUCCACGCCGUAAACGAUGAGUGCUAAGUGUUAGGGGGUUUCCGCCCCUUAGUGCUGCAGCUAACGCAUUAAGCACUCCGCCUGGGGAGUACGACCGCAAGGUUGAAACUCAAAGGAAUUGACGGGGACCCGCACAAGCGGUGGAGCAUGUGGUUUAAUUCGAAGCAACGCGAAGAACCUUACCAAAUCUUGACAUCCUUUGACAACUCUAGAGAUAGAGCUUUCCCCUUCGGGGGACAAAGUGACAGGUGGUGCAUGGUUGUCGUCAGCUCGUGUCGUGAGAUGUUGGGUUAAGUCCCGCAACGAGCGCAACCCUUAAGCUUAGUUGCCAUCAUUAAGUUGGGCACUCUAAGUUGACUGCCGGUGACAAACCGGAGGAAGGUGGGGAUGACGUCAAAUCAUCAUGCCCCUUAUGAUUUGGGCUACACACGUGCUACAAUGGACAAUACAAAGGGCAGCGAAACCGCGAGGUCAAGCAAAUCCCAUAAAGUUGUUCUCAGUUCGGAUUGUAGUCUGCAACUCGACUACAUGAAGCUGGAAUCGCUAGUAAUCGUAGAUCAGCAUGCUACGGUGAAUACGUUCCCGGGUCUUGUACACACCGCCCGUCACACCACGAGAGUUUGUAACACCCGAAGCCGGUGGAGUAACCUUUUAGGAGCUAGCCGUCGAAGGUGGGACAAAUGAUUGGGGUGAAGUCGUAACAAGGUAGCCGUAUCGGAAGGUGCGGCUGGAUCACCUCCUUUCUAA
rnacentral:rRNA from 1 species